rnacentral:rRNA from 1 species
UCCUACGGGGGGCAGCAGUGGGGAAUAUUGCACAAUGGGCGAAAGCCUGAUGCAGCAACGCCGCGUGAGUGAUGACGGUCUUCGGAUUGUAAAGCUCUGUCUUCUGGGACGAUAAUGACGGUACCAGAGGAGGAAGCCACGGCUAACUACGUGCCAGCAGCCGCGGUAAUACGUAGGUGGCAAGCGUUGUCCGGAUUUACUGGGCGUAAAGGAUGCGUAGGUGGAUAUUUAAGUGAGAUGUGAAAUACCCGGGCUUAACUUGGGUGCUGCAUUUCAAACUGGAUAUCUAGAGUGCAGGAGAGGAAAGCGGAAUUCCUAGUGUAGCGGUGAAAUGCGUAGAUAUUAGGAAGAACACCAGUGGCGAAGGCGGCUUUCUGGACUGUAACUGACACUGAGGCAUGAAAGCGUGGGGAGCAAACAGGCUUAGAUACCCCGGUAGU